rnacentral:lncRNA from 1 species
UUUUUUUUUUUUUAUUUUUAAUAUAAGAUUUAUUUAUUUAACGUAUGUGAGUACACUGUAGCUGUCUUCAGACACACCAGAAGAGGGCAUCAGAUCCCAUUACAGGUGGUUGUGAGCCACCAUUUGGUUGCUGGGAAUUGAACUCAGGACCUCUGGAAGAGCAAUCAGUGCUCUUACUCACUGAGCCAUCUCUCCAGCCCUCUUCCCUUCUUUUUAAUACCUUCUCAUAUCCCAGCUGGCUUUGAACUUGUGCAUGUAGCUGAGGACGAGCCUGAACUUUUCUGAUCCUCUUUGCCUCCCCUUACAUGAGUGCUGGGACUAUAGGUGUGUGCCACCAGGCCUAGCUUAUGCUGUGCUGAUUGAGCAAGAGUUUUGCUGCAUAGAAUGCAAGCAUUCUGCCAACUGAGCUACACUCUAGUCCUUUUAAAAUUUUGAGGUAGAGUUUUGCAGUGUAACUCAGGCUAGCCUCAGAAUCCUUCCAGUAUCCUUAGCUUUGGGACUACAGAUGUGCAUAUCCUAACCUCAUCUAGCCUCUCGAGGAUUUUGUUGUUUACAUUGUUGGGGAUUGGACCCAGGGCCUCACAUACUGGGCAAGGUGUUUGUUCUACCACUGAGCUGAGACUCUGGUCCUUAUAGAAUUCUAUCUUGAGACCAAGUUGUCCAAGCUAUGCGCUUCUCAGGCUAAUCUCAAGUUUGAGACCCUGCUGUGUAAGCCUCUGGAGUAGCUGGUUGUCAGGAUGUAUCACCACAACCUGACUUCUUGUUUCCCAGUGGCUGCUACUUCUGCUUCCUCCUCCUCCCCCUCCUCCUCUUUCUCCUCUUCCCCUCCUUCUCCUCCUCCUUUUUUAAAGAUUUACUUAUUUUAUAUAUAUAUGUGUGUGUGUGUGUGUGUGUGUGUGUGUGUGUGUGUGUAUGCAGUCUUCAGACACACCAGAAGAGGGCAUUGGAUCCCAUUGCAGAUGGUUAUAAGCCACCAUGUGGGUGCUGGGAAUUGAACUCAGGACCUCUGGAAGAGCAGUCAGUGCUCUUUCCAGCUAGUGGUUGCCUUUUAUGGGGAAGUUUAGCCUUUUAAGCGGGGGUCCUAGAAGAAGGAGAAACUGCCUGUCAGUCUUCCACAGCCCUGAAGGGAACUGCUAUUGUGGGAUCUGGCCCCUAGCUCCCUUAACAAAGGGAACCUACCACCUCUAGGGCACUGGUGACUGUCUGGCCUCCUUUCUCAGGGUGAUAAGCACAGACUGAGCUGUAUCUUAUAAGAAGCCUUUGUCAGUGUCUGUCCUCUGGGGUAAGGCAAAUGCCAGUGGAAGAUGGUCCCAUCAGGCGCACACUGUGUCUGCUCCAUUUGUGAGUCCAGCAGGGUGCAGCAAACAGAGAAUCAGAAGCUGUAGGAUAACAAUCUACUGGCAACGGGUACCUCGGAAGUGCCAAGCCAUAUUAAUUGUUCCCAUCUAGGUGUGGUAUCCUAGUUACAGUUCUGGGAACUACAAACAUGCCAGAUACGGUCCUUACUGUUUUACAAGCAGUCGCUUAUUUACUCUUGAAGAUAACUCAGUAAAUGAGUUACUUGUUUUACCUACUUCAAAAUAAGCAUCCAGGAUUUUUCAUAGGCACCUGUAAUUUAACACUUUGAGAGGCUGCAUCAGGGUGAUGUGAACCUGAGGCCAGCCUAGGCUAUACAGUAAGACCUUGUCUCAAAAGCACAUGCCAGAACCAAGCCAGGUAUGGUGCUUCUGCCUGUAGUCUGAGCACCAAGGCAGUGGGAUCAUGGAUUUAUGGCUGCCAAGCGAGAGACCCUGCUUCAAAAUAAACAGACACACAGAUGUAAAUAACAAUAAAGCUAGAGAAGUGAGAGUUACCUACUAACAUUGCAGAGCCAGCUAAAUCUGAACCCAGGCUCCUGUGGUUGUGAGUCUUGGCAUGCUGUCCUGUAUUAUGGGCGUGUCAUUUAACCCCAUUUCUGCUUCUGCAACGUGAGCCAUGCACUUGCUAGUGUCAGAUAACCUUGAAGUCUUCUUGCCAUCCCCAGUGCAAGAGCGCUGUCAACUCCAUGCCUUAGGUUCCUGCUGGCAGGCUGUGGAGCCACUCUGCCCUCUGCUGGUCACUGCUGGUGCUGGCCCAGGCCUGAACUGCCUGUGAUGUCUCAGGAAAAAGAUUGUUUAUCCAGUUUAUCUCUGAGGAAACCACAAACAGGCGAGCCACUGAAGCUGGCUGUUGAAUGCUGACUGGGGCCUGCCUGACAGAGAGGAAGGACAGACACCUCUUCCCGUUGGAAACUCUGGGAUGUGGCAGCAUGUGACCUCAGUGUGCUUUAACCUUGCACUUUGCUUUGCUUGUAGACUUUAGGCAGGCAGAAGGGAAGAGGUGGAGGGAGGGGGCGGGGCAGCUAUCUUUGAGCUCACAGAUUGGUCUUCCUCUGCCACUAGAGUGCUGAGAUUAAAGGUACGCAACACCAGACGCAGCAUACCUCGAACUUUCUAGGUAACUAAGGAUGACUGAAUGAAGAGAUCGUGGGGGUGGCACAUGCCUUUAAUCCUGGCAUUCAGGGGGCAGAAGCCAGCGUGAUCUACAUAUCCAGUCCAGUCAGGUAUAUGUAGUGAGACCCAUUUCC